rnacentral:lncRNA from 1 species
GGCAAAUCCACCAUGAUUGCUGCCAUGGCUAAUUUUUUGAACUAUGAUGUCUAUGAUCUUGAGCUUACCACAGUCCAGGAUAACUCGGAGCUGAGGUCUCUUUUGAUUGACACCUCAAGUAAGUCGAUCCUAGUUAUAGAGGAUAUUGAUUGCUCUCUUGAUCUCACCGGCCAACGCGAGAAGAAAAAGGAGAAAGACGAGGACAAGGAGGAGAAGAAUCCAAUUGAAAAGAAGGAAAAAGAAGAUGGUGAGAGCAAGAAAAGCAAGGUUACAUUAUCCGGGCUUCUGAAUUUCAUUGAUGGCCUUUGGUCAGCUUGUGGGGGAGAAAGGAUUAUUGUGUUCACUACAAACUACGUGGACAAGCUUGAUCCUGCGUUGAUCAGGAGAGGAAGGAUGGAUAAGCACAUUGAAAUGUCCUAUUGUUGCUUUGAAGCAUUCAAGAUGCUAGCCAAGAACUAUUUAGAUAUUGAUUCACAUGAACUGUAUCCAGAGAUUGAAAUUAUGCUGGCUGAAACCAACAUGACUCCUGCUGAUGUUGCGGAGAAUUUGAUGCCCAAGUGCGAUGAGGAUGACACAGAGACUUGUUUGAAGAAUUUGAUUGAAGCUCUCAAGGCGGCGAAGGAGGAGGCAAUCAAGAAGGCUGAAGAAGAAGCACGGUUGAAAGCAGAGGAGGCGACAAAGAAGGCUGAGGAAGAAGUGCGGUCCAAGGAUGAGAAAGAAGAGAAGGAAAAGCAUGCAAAAGAAAUUGAAACUUCAUCUUCUUCUGCGAAAGAAAAUGGGUCCAUUGCUAAUGGUAAUGAGAAUACAAGCAACUGAGGAUCCAGGACUUGCAUAUGAACUAUCAGCUUUAUAAUUUAUUCACACUCCUGUGCUGAAUGUUUACGUGUAUUGUAUCAUUUCAGUUUGUAGAAUAAUUGUUUGCUGCAUUGUGGUCAUUAUUAGUAGUGAAAGCUGGAGUUGGCAUGCAGCUUUUAGACUGGAUUUGUGUAAAAAGCUCUGAAUUCUUCGGUUAUAAAGUCCAAUAAAGACUGUGAUAAACACUGAAGAAGGACAACUUUAAGUCAUGUGAGAAGCGUAUUAGUGUUUUGGUGGUGUAAAUUAGUACAAAAUUUGUAUGAUCACUAUUUUAAGCAAAAAUGGUCCAUCUGGUUUCAUCUUCAUUAGUACCCAAGCAAAGAUGUUUAAAAUCAGCGAACAAAAAUGAUGCCAGUAUCAAAUUUCAAAUGAAUACAAGGCUGAAGAGAAAUCUUAUCAAAAUUUUGAACUAAUAAUGUAAUUUUUAAUUAUCGAUGAAUGAAAAUGGGAAUGGGGUUGACAGUUUGUUGAGGUUAAAAGAAAAAGUAUAAGGGUGUAUCUAGCAAUGGAUUGGGGCAAUCUGCGAAAAAAGUUCUAACUUCAUUAGAAUUUCUGCCCGGCCAAGAUUCUGUAGCCAUUCCGAACCACAGAGUGAUAGUCCCUAUUCCCAAAAAAAACACACUAAUGAAAUUGAAGUAGUGACCUACCAAGUCAAAAUAAGCUUAUAAAAUUAACCACAUAUUAAAAAUAUUAAAUGAAAUAAACGCUAUUGGCACUUGAUAGAAAUGAUGCUUAGCUAUGCUGAGAUGAAGGUCUCAUCUGACCAUGGUAUAUGAUUAUGGCAAAUGGUGGCCGCCUCAUUCGUCAUAUUGUCUUUCUCUCUCUAAGCAGGAAACAAAUAUCUUUUGAUGUUGCAUUUGUAGUUCAAUAAAACUUGAUAUUAUAGCCUUAAAAUUAAAUCAUAUUGAGAGUUCCAAAUUUGUAAUUCAAUUUGCAGGCAAUCUCUAUUUCAUUAAACAAAUCAGCUGAUUUAUACUAGUAUGAUAUUUAAUGUAUAAAACCAAAACAAAAAUACCCAGUAAGUUGAUGGUCUGUAACGACAAAAAGCAAUUGAAAAGUUGUAAAUUGAUAAGACUGAAUUGCAUUUAAAACAUAAAUUGGCCUGGAAAAAAAUUGCAAAUUUGACGUGUAUUUGAAGUUGAGGUCUUGAUUGAGCAUCUAAUUGUCAAGAAAUUGGGUGCACAAAGUAGAGAAUCGAUGCAUGGUUGGCUCUGCGUUGACUCCACCAUCUGAAAUGGUAAUCAAUUUCCAGAGUUAAAGAGGUAAUAUUUCUCUUAAUUAUUGGUUUUCCUUUCUGGAUAUGAGGUAACUUUUAUUGGUUAACGUUGGUUAUUGGCUUGAAAAUGAUACAACUAAAAAUUGUUUCUAAGACACUUCAGUAUUGUACUUGACAUAUUUUUUAGAGUAGAAAAAUGAAAUUUGCCAGUGAGAUUCAGGGCUUUCUUGGAAGAUUGGUAUCAAGAAAACAGGCUUGUUGGAAUAUGUCAAAACAGGCUUGUUGGAAUAUGUCCUCAUUUUUUUGAAGGGAACGCGCUGCUACAACCUACAAACCUGUAAUACUCCAAAAAUUACCCCUGAAAAUAUAAGGGUAAAAUUGAAAUGAAACCUCGCAUCAUUUAUUCUUAUUAAUAAAUCUCAAGAUAAACAAUCAUUAUUCAUACUCCAACUGAAUCCUUACAAAAAAAAAUCUUUAAUCAAAAAUAAAAAGUCUAGUCAAAUUUAAUUUUUAAAACAACUCCAAAGAUCCACCAAGAAAAUUCUUCAUCUAAGAACCCAAGCCACAUCUAUAAUCAAUCUGCAAAAUAUUAUCGACGGGUGGUGAGCCAUCAACUCGGUAAGUAAAUCCAUGUACAAUAUUUGAAAACUUUUGUCAUUUUACCUUUAAACAUUUUAUGACAACAUCUUCAUUUAGCAUAAGGGGUGGAUUCAUGUAAAAACAUUAAAAUAUAAACAUUGGUAGCUCAUAUCUCAUAGUCAUCAUCAUUCAUCAUUUAUCAUUCAUCAUUUAGGGUGUUAUACCCCGCAUUGUUCCUCAUUCAGGGUACUAUACCCCACAUUGUUCAUAACAUCCUUGUGCACAAAAUCAUCAUCAUACCAACAAGCUGGCCAUAACAUUACAUAACAUCAUAACAUUUGCAUUAUAUACAUUACUACGGACUAUGAGCCAAAACAUUUUUGAAUCCACCUUGCAUCCUUUCAUAAAUAGCAUUUAAAGUCUUAUAAAACAUUUAAGAACUUUUAUUUGAACAUUUAAUUCUUUUAGAAAUUUUUUUAAGAAAACUAAUUUCUUAAGAAAAUUUCAUUUUAAAAUACAUUUAUAUAAAUUUUUAUUUUACAAAAUUCAUUUAAAUAUUUUAGAAAUCAAUUUUGUAAAAAAUUCCAUUUAAACUUAAUUCUUACAACAUAAAUUGCAUUUAUUAUAAAUAACAUCAUGCAUGAAUCUUCUUACCUCGAUCCGUAGCAAUCAACUCAAUACCUUAAGAACAACCAACGAGCUCACCCACGUCCUAUAAUCAUUAUAAAAAUAUCCUUAUCAAUAUCAUCUCUAACCUUAAACAUAAUCCCAGUCAUUCUUAAUUCAUAGACACUUAUACUAGCUCAAUAUUUAUACAUAUUCUAGACAUAAGUAUGAGUAUCUUGCACAUGCUGAUUUUUAAUAACCUAUACACAUAUCGGAAAACCAUGAAAAUUUACAGAGGUACUAUGAACAUGCAUAGCAUUGCAUACAAUAUUUCACAAAAAUCAGCACAAGUCAAAAUCGAGUCAGAAUAUUGACCUUUCACCAAAGUAACAAAACUGUCCAGCAUUGACCAAAACAGACCUUUACCACUUAGGAAAUUCAUAAAAUAGUCUUUAGUACUCAAAAUAAUAUAUUUCUUUUUUCUAAUUACAAAAGACACAUUCAGAAAGCAUAUAAUUAAAAUUCAUAAUUUUUGGACUCCUGAAACUAUUUUAAAACGUUUUAUUUCCGAGAACAUCUAGCCCAUCCAAAAUAUUCCAGAUUUGAAAACAGAAUUUCAAAAAUUCGUAUCUUUUAUUUUACAUGCCCAAAAAUCGCGAUUCCAGUUUUUAAAGACAGAGGAAAGAUUGAAAUUUCAUUAUAAAAUCCUAACACGGCAUGUAAUAUUCAUAAGUUAGCCCAACUGUUACACGUUUUAGCUUCUGCAAUUCUGGAAAACAGUUUCCAGAUUUGCAGCAGCCACAUGUUACGAUUUUUAAUAAUUUAACCAUAAAGAAUAAAACUACGAAAUUAAACAUGCAAGCAUAGGAGACAUAGAUCUGUUAUACAAAAAUCGCCUUAAUUUUUAAGGAUGUGCAACCUUACAGAAAAUUUUCCAGAAUUGAGAACCGCUGCUGAAAAUCGGAAUUUUCCAGCACCAGUAACCCAACUUCGAAAACCCAUAACAAUUUUCAUACUCAGACGAUUCCAACACAAAACCUAUUAAUGGAAAGCUUAGGAUGUCUAGUUCUAUGAUAUGUAAGUAUAUUCACGUGAUUCUAAAUAAAGAAAACGAUUUCAAGCAAGGAAUAGAGACUGUUCAUAUCAUCACAACAUAACAAACACACAUAUAUUACCCAAAUCAUACUACAAGUAAUUAAAGGCAAACAAUUCAUAAAAAUAAAUCAUAUAAAUUUAAGAAAUAUUUAAUACCUUAAAGCAAACACUAAGAAAAGAAGUUAUAAAACUUUCUUUUCCUUCUCCAAAGACUUAUGUUUCUUUCAUUUCUUUCUAAGAUUUGUAACCGUGUAGAAAAUAAAAGACGGCUUCUUAAAAAGAUAGCUUCCUCUUAAAUACUUGAUAAUUAAUAAAUAUUUUUUUUAUAAAAACUAAUAACUUAAGUAACUUAUUUAAAGUAAUUUGAUAAAUUUUACUCACACACAAACACUCAAUAAUAACUAUCCUACUUAAUUUAAUAAGGUAAAAGAGAAAAAAUAAAUAAAUAAAAGUAGACGUUACAAAACCUGUCUUUCUUAUGUUCCCAUUUGGACAUCAGUCUCACGAUAGGUGCUGGCGCAGUCCAUUUACUGUUUUUAUUUUAAUAAAUGAUAUCAAUUCUGGUAUUCUGAUUUAUGCAGUACAUUGCAUCACCAGUCUACUUGUAUGGGCUGACUUUUCAAGUUUGCGAUAGGUCAGGUUAUUGAAGCUUCAAUUGAUAAAAAAUAUUAUGUUAUGUUAUUCGACUCCAUCAAAGAAAGGGGCAUGUUUUGAAAAAAGUUUUCUGAACUGGGUUUGUCCAGUUCCUCAAUUUUCAGAAACACCAGGAACUAAUCUUAUGAGUUGCAUUUUCAUCUUGUCGGUGGCUCUUCUGUUUGCUUAACUCAGUUUAUUUAUUUCUUUUAUCUUUUAAUUGUUUCUGAGGGUUAACUUGUCUUUCUCAUGGAGUCAUGGUCCCAUUUGGGCAUCAGUCUAACAGCAUCUUCUGGUGCAAUCCCCCCUACUGUUUUUAUGUUUAUAUAAUAUGAAAUUUUGGUAGUGUGAUUAAUUAAUGCAAAAACAUUGCAUCACAUGUUUAUUUGUCGGAGCUAGCUUUGAAGAGACUUUUCGUGUGUGUAGGAUCAAGUCAGUGGAGAUCUUUCUCCCUCUUUUUUUUUUUUUUUUUGUGGUUGUAAAUUCUCUGAACUGGGUUUGCUCAGUUUCUGACUGAUUAGAAACUGCAGGAACUAUUCUCAUGAGUUGCAUUUUCUCAGUUUUUUAUUUUUUUUAUUUUCAUUUUCUAAUUGUUUCUGAGAAUUGACUGCUGCUAGUUGUAUUAUUUUGUUUUUGUAUUUACAACAUAACUUUCAAUGGACCUAAAAGUAAUUGUCCAAGAACACCUACUUGUUCGACAAGCAACUUAACAAGGACAUCUAACCUUUCCUAAAUAGGAAAGGAAUGGAGGUGGAAAAAAAGUUUUAAGGUUUUUGCCGUCCGAUUACAACCUUUCAAUUUUAUGGCAUGCCGCUUGACCAUUCGUCAUCAGCAACAGGUUAAAAAAAAAAGAAUCAACAUUGACUUUGAUUUUUUCUCUUCUUCUUAGCUAACUCCUAUUUAACUAUAUUAGAAGCCACCCAGAAACUUACCAUGCAAUGAUGUGUAGCCUUGUAUCUUAAUCAGCAAGGCACAACCUAGUGCAGUCCUGUCUAUCUCCACAAUAUAUUAUAGAAUGGAUCAGUUUUAGCGGAUCUAAUGUUUGUGAAUGCUAUUUUCAAAGCACACUUCCCAUAUUGCCUUUGGGGCUAUGUAGAAAGAUGUAGCCACACAUUGGCGCCACAUAUGUAUCAUUACAUUGAAAUUACAUUUGAUGAAUUUUCAGGUGAGCGACUCAAUCAUAGUGAAGUCUUCUCUGCCAUACAGAACUAUCUUAGUAUCAAAGCCUCCAAGCAUGCUGCAAGGUUUAAAGCUGAUGUUGUCGAAGAUAGCCAGUCAUUAGUCCUUAGUAUGGAGGAUAAAGAGGAAGUAACUGAUGAGUUUGAAAGGGUUAAUGUUUGGUGGGAAUUGGGUAAGAAUAUUUCCAGAAGAGAAUUUCAAUUCUCUAUUUAUCCUGCUGCAGAGGAGAAGAGGUAUUACAAGCUCACAUUCCAUAAACGUGACCGAGAACUCAUCCCAGGAUCCUAUGUUAACCAUGUCUUGGAUGGAGGAAGGCCAUCACAGUGAAGAACCGGCAGCGGAAGCUGUACAGCAACAAUCCUAGCAAGAAUUGGUGCGGCUGGAGAUCAACAAAGUGAAGCCAUGUCUUUUUUGAGCAUCCUGCUACAUUUGACACGUUGGUAAUGGAGACAAAGAAGAAGGAAGAGAUCAAGAAGGACCUCAAGAAGUUCAGCGAGGGGAAAGAGUACUGUGCGAAAAUUGGGAAGGCUUGGAAGAGAGGCUAUCUCCUUUACGGCCCUCCUGGAACUGGUAAAUCAACCAUGAUUGCUGCCAUGGCUAAUUUUUUGAACUAUGAUGUCUAUGAUCUUGAGCUUACCACAGUCCAGGAUAACACGGAGCUGAGGACUCUCUUGAUUGAGACCUCAAGCAAGUCAAUCAUAGUUAUUGAGAACAUUUGACUGCUCACUUGAUCUUACUGGUAAACGUGAAAGGAAAAAGGAGAAAGAUGAGAAUGAAGAAGAAAUUAAUCCAAUUAAAAAUAAGGAAAAGAAUAGAGUGAGAGCAAACAAAAUAAAUUCACUUUGUCUGGGCUUCUGAAUUUCAUUGAUGGCCUUUGGUCAGCUUGUGGGGGAGAAAGGAAUUGUUUUCACUACAAAUUAUGUUGAUAAGCUUGAUCCUGCUUUGAUAAGGAGAGGGAGAAUGGACAAGCGCAUAGAAAUGUCUUAUUGUUGCUUUGAAGCAUUCAUGGUGCUAGCCAAGAGUUAUUUGGAUAUUGAGUCACAUGCAUUUUUUGCAGAAAUUAACAGUUUGUUGGCUGAAACCAACAUGGCUUCUGCUGAUGUUGCGGAGAAUUUGAUGCCAAAGUCUGAUGAGGAGGAUGCAGAUUCUUGUUUGAAGAAUUUGAUUGAAGCUCUUAAGGUGGCAAAGGAGGAGGCAAGAAAGAACGCUGAAGAAGAAGCACUGUUAAAGGCGGAGGAGGCAAAAAAGAAGGCUAAGGAAGAAGCAAAAGCAGAGAAAGAAGAGGACAAGCAUGCCAAACAGAAUGUGAAAGAUGAUGGAACUUCUGAUAUUGGAGUGAAACAGAAUGGUUUCGUUAAUAAAGCAGGUGGAGGAGGGGAAUACUUGAUCUUGAAUGCUAAUGGGGAAAUGGGCAAUUGAGGCUCCAGCACUAGCAAGAAUUAGCAAUAAUUUUAUAGUUAAUGUUAGAAGCUGGAGCCAAAUGUGGAUUAGCAGAUGUUUUAUUUUAUCUCAAAACUUUGUAUCAUUGUAUGCAACUUCUGUGAACUCUAAUGUUACAUUAAUAGAAGUAAUCUUAGCUACAUUAGCUUUUAUUUUAACUAUUUAAUCGUGGAAUGCUUUUACUAGGGCUUUAGGAAAUUCAAAGAGAUUCGAUUGUCAAUUAACAUAUGAUGGUGAAGAAAGUGAAGUUAGAUGACUAACGCAUGCUAACUUUUAGAUUCAUCCAAAUUGAUUCAAUUCAUUUGUACUGCCACAUAACCAUAUUUUCAUCCUCCGCUGUUUUAAUUAAUCAUUGAUUGUGGCAGUUGGACCAUUUCUAAAAUGAAACUAAUCUAUCUAUCUAUAUCUAUCUAUAUAUCUAUAUCUAUCUAUAUAUCUAUAUAUAUAUAUAAAGUUGGGGCUUGAGGAGGUGAUGUGACAUCACCAUUUUUCAUCUUUGUAUAUUCUCUAUUAUCUAAUAAAUAGAUAGAUUUUCUUUUAGAUUUAACUUUUCAUCUUCUCAUAAUUAAUUUGAUUGUUAUUAUACAAUAACAAUUAUGUAAAGAUUUUAAUGAAGCAUAUUCUUUGUAAUGAACAUCCAAGGGUGAGUGUUAUGAAUUUAUUAAAAUAAAUGUAGAUGUUCAUAACAUAUAUUUCUUAGUCUCCCCACUAUAUCUCAUUAGCAACCUUUAGCUUCCCUAUAACUCCCACUAUCUCACAAUGAAUAAUGAUCCAUAAUUUUUCAUUAAUUUCAUGGAGUGAUUAUGUAACUAUAAAAGGAGAGCUCAUCUUUUUGUUUUGUACACACACAAUUGGAAUGAAUAAAAUCACUCUAUAAUAUAUUCUCUCAUUUUAUUAUUUAUCUUGCGUUGCUUCUUUAUUUGUAUUGUUGGCUAAUAGUUUUUUUUUUUUUUAUAAGGCUGUCUCAUCUUUAAAAAAAAUCUAUUCAUAUUUUUUUAUCAAUUUCACCAAGUGUAAAGUAAGAAAAAAUGAUAAUACUAAAUUCUUUUUUCAAAGCCACGUAAAGCGCGGUUAUAUUUUCUAGUUUGUUUAUAAGACUUAAGAGUCAAGCCUGCUAAGCAAGAACUUUUAUUAUUAUUAUUAUUAUUAUUAUUAUUAUUAUUAUUAUUAUUAUUAUUAUUAUUAUUAUUAUUAUUAUUAUUAUUAUUAUUAUUAUUAUUAUUAUUAUUAUUAUUAUUAUUAUUAUUAAUAAUAAAAAUAAUCGAAUACAAAAUAAUAAUUAUGACAAUAGUUAAUUAAGAACAUUUUAGUAAUUUCUAAUAAUUUAACUCAUUUUGAUCUCGACUCCAAUAUAAAAUAAAUACAUCAAUAAGAAAAGAGUCCAUUCUAAUUUUAAACAACUUAUUCUACUUUUAAUUUUUUUUUUAAUUCCAAUCUAUUUCAAUUUGUUUAGUAAACGUACAUAAAACAGUACGACUGAUUAAUUAAAAUAGUGGUCAUGUGGGUCUUAUUUAAUAAAUUGUUAAUAUUUAUUUUUAAAUAAUUAUUUUGUAAUAUUAAAGAGGAAACCGUCAGGAGAUUAUUAUCUUACAUAAUCAUUUAAGAUAUAUGAUUCUUACACUGCAGUUGAUGAAAAUCUAACAAUUAUGAAAAUAUAAUAUAAUAAAAUUAUGUUAUUUCUACGACUAUUAAAUUUUCAUCCAACGACUAUAGAAGAAUCAUGUAUUUUAUGUGAUCACGAAAAAUAACAAAAGCAGCCAUUUUACCGUUUUUAUUGGUCAGAGAGUCAACCCUCUCACAUGCUUUUCUGCCAACGUAAUUGGCAUUUGGCUACUAGCAAAAGCAUUACGUGGAGGUCAAAGAUGAAGGCUAAUAUGUACAAUGGAGUUGGUGACAGAUAAAAACACAAAGACAGCAGAAAAGACAGAAAUAUUUUUCUUUUUAAGUAAAUUUUAGAUUACCUCAAAUAAAAACAUAUUUUUUAAAAUACUAUCAAAUUAUUAUAAAUUUUAAUUUAACUCUUUUUUAUUUUAAAAAAUAAUGGUGAAUUAAUGAAAAAUCUUUUAUAUUCUUUACAAAAUUAGGAGCGAGUUGAUAUUUACGAUAACUUGAAAAAUAUUUUAAAGAAUGUAAUUUUACAAGAGUAAUUAAAUUUUCUUUUUUUAAAUUAAAGAAAGACCGACCUUGACUCUUAAGUCUUUGCGGAAGCCACUCGGAAGAAAGCAAUUAGGCAGUGACGGGGAUAGCUUCAUAGGCGUGAUCAGCAAGCCAAAACACAAUAUUUAAAGACCCUUCUCCACAAUAACCUUACAGAUUUUAUAUACUAGUUUUGUCUGAAAUAGCUAGAGAGUAACGUAGCAAAAUGGUGACUACCGGAGAAUUGUGGGCAACGAUAGGCUCAGUUAUGGCGAGUGUCAUGUUUGUAUCAGCUAUAUUCAAGCAAUACUUUCCAUAUCAACUUUGGGGCUAUGUUGAAAAAUAUAGUCAAAAAUUGUUUCGGAUUCUGUAUCCUUACAUAGAAAUUACAUUCCAUGAAUUCUCCGGUGAUCGUCUCAAGCGCAGCGAAGCCUUCUCCGCCAUACAAAACUAUCUCAGCACCACUGCCUCUUUGCAUGCUACAAGGUUUAAGGCUGAUGUUGUCAAAGACAGCCAGUCUAUAGUCCUUAGCAUGGAUGAUAGGCAGGAGGUCACAGAUGAGUUUAAAGGGAUCAAAGUUUGGUGGGUGUUGGGUAAGAAUAUUCUUAAGACUCAGUCGUUUUCAUUUUAUCCAGCGACGGAUGAGAAGAGGUAUUACAGGCUCACGUUCCAUAAGAGUCACCGGGAACUCAUCACCGGGCCCUAUGUUAACCAUGUGUUGGCUGGAGGAAAGGCUAUCACCGUGAAGAACCGGCAACGGAAGCUGUACAGCAACAAUCCUAGCAAGAAUUGGUAUGGCUGGAGAUCAACAAAGUGGAGCCAUGUCUUUUUUGAGCAUCCUGCUACAUUUGAUACGUUGGCAAUGGAGACAAAGAAGAAGGAAGAGAUCAAGAAGGACCUCAAGAAGUUCAGCGAGGGGAAAGAGUACUACGAGAAAAUUGGGAAGGCUUGGAAGAGAGGGUAUCUCCUUUACGGUCCUCCAGGAACUGGCAAAUCAACCAUGAUUGCUGCUAUGGCCAACUACAUGAGCUAUGAUGUGUAUGAUCUUGAACUUACCACAGUGAAAGACAACACAGAGUUGAGGUCUCUUUUGAUUGACACCUCAAGUAAGUCGAUCCUAGUUAUAGAGGAUAUUGAUUGCUCUCUUGAUCUCACAGGCCAACGCGAGAAGAAAAAGGAGAAAGACGGGGACGAGGAGGAGAAGAAUCCAAUUGAAAAGAAGGAAAAAGAAGAUGGUGAGAGCAAGAAAAGCAAGGUUACAUUAUCCGGGCUUCUGAAUUUCAUCGACGGCCUUUGGUCAGCUUGUGGGGGAGAAAGGAUAAUUGUGUUUACUACAAAUUACGUGGACAAGCUUGAUCCUGCGUUGAUUAGGAGAGGAAGGAUGGAUAAGCACAUUGAAAUGUCCUAUUGUUGCUUUGAAGCAUUCAAGAUGCUAGCCAAGAACUAUUUAGAUAUUGAUUCACAUGAACUGUAUGCAGAGAUUGAAAUUAUGCUGGCUGAAACCAACAUGACUCCUGCUGAUGUAGCGGAGAAUUUGAUGCCCAAGUGCGAUGAGGAUGACACAGAGAC